rnacentral:rRNA from 1 species
UGGGGAAUCUUGCACAAUGGGGGAAACCCUGAUGCAGCGACGCCGCGUGAGCGAUGAAGGUUUUCGAAUCGUAAAGCUCUGUCCUACGGGAAGAUAAUGACGGUACCAUGGGAGGAAGCCCCGGCUAACUACGUGCCAGCAGCCGCGGUAAUACGUAGGGGGCGAGCGCUUUCCGGAAUUACUGGGCGUAAAGGGUUCGCAGGCGGCAUGGCAAGUCCGAUGUAAAAGGCGAAGGCUCAACCUUCGUAAGCAUCGGAAACUGUCAAGCUUGAGUGCAGGAGGGGCAAGUGGAAUUCCUAGUGUAGCGGUGGAAUGCGUAGAUAUUAGGAGGAAUACCGGUGGCGAAGGCGACUUGCUGGACUUCAACUGACGCUGAGGAACGAAAGCGUGGGUAGCAAACAGG